UCCGGUUUGUCACCGGCAGUCUCCCUAGAGUGCCCUUGCGUAGCAACUAGGGACAAGGGGGGCACCAUCUCUGAUGCUUUCCGGCGUAUGUCAAGCCUUGGUAAGGUUCUUCGCGUUGCGUCGAAUUAAGCCACAUGCUCCGCUGCUUGUGCGGGCCCCCGUCAAUUCCUUUGAGUUUUAGCCUUGCGGCCGUACUCCCCAGGCGGGGAACUUAAUGCGUUAGCUGCGGCACCGACGACGUGGAAUGUCGCCAACACCUAGUUCCCACCGUUUACGGCGUGGACUAC
rnacentral:misc_RNA from 1 species